AGCAUGCCAUCAAACCUUGAAGUCAUGUCCACCAGAAUUCCACGGAUACAACAGCUCUUGCUUCUACGCUGGAUCAGUUGAAAUGACUUGGUAUCAAGCUAAGAAAUUCUGCAUAAAUAAAUGUGCAAAACUAGCAGAUUUUGAAUCCAUGAAAGAAUUAAUCGAUGUAUCUAAUAUACGUCUUCACUCGUCUGGUAUUCAUCACGGAAUUCCUAUAUUUAUGUUCUGGACCGAUGGAUGGGCUGAGGGUCAUAGUAAAAACUGGACAUGGUCAUCAACUGGAUCCACUAUAAAUGCAGAGUUGACCCAACAACUUAUAGUUAUGGACACGUUUCUAGAUCCUAACACUUGUUUGUGGAUAUAUAAACAUGUUGGGCCAUUCCAUACUAGAGAAUCAUAUUGUAGUGACAUGCAUAAUCCUUUGUGUGAAGUGAAAAUAAAUCCUGAAUAGCAUUUCGUAACAGAUUUAAUGAAAUACAGCGUUCUAUGCAAAACAAGUUGUUAUGUUUUAUCCAGAAAAUUGUAUUAUUUUAAAACAGAAAUCAAUACAUGGGUGCUUACUUAUUGACAGUAGAACUUUAAGUAGUAUAAAAAUAUAUAUUUGUUAACAAAGUAGUAUCAAUAUUUUUUAUUCAAAACUUUCAUCAGUAUCUCUACGUGAUAACGAUAUCAUUCCACCAGUGGCGAAGAGUUAUUCUAAAAUAAUCCUUAUCGUGAACGUUCAAUUUUAAAAAAUUAAGAGCCAAUGCUAUAUGAAUACUCUUGUAUAAAAACUUAAUCUAUUUUCAAAGGUACAAAUGAGAAAACGUUUUAAAAACUGUAUAUGUAUCUAAAAGAAACGAAGUUCUUAUAUUUUAGUGAUCUCGAAGUUGUGAAUGUUUUGAAUACCAAACAUAUAAU